rnacentral:rRNA from 1 species
UACAGAGGUCCCAAGCGUUGUUCGGAUUCAUUGGGCGUAAAGGGUGCGUAGGCGGCGCGGUAAGUCGGGUGUGAAAUUUCGGAGCUUAACUCCGAAACUGCAUUUGAUACUGGCGUGCUUGAGGACUGGGGAGACUGGAAUUUACGGUGUAGCGGUGAAAUGCGUAGAUAUCGUAAGGAAGACCAGUGGCGAAGGCGGGUCUCUGGACAGUUCCUGACGCUGAGGCACGAAGGCCAGGGGAGCAAACGGG